rnacentral:rRNA from 1 species
GGUGAAAAGCACCCCGGAAGGGGAGUGAAAUAGAACCUGAAACCGUGUGCUUACAAGUAGUCAGAGCCCGUUAAUGGGUGAUGGCGUGCCUUUUGUAGAAUGAACCGGCGAGUUACGAUUUGAUGCAAGGUUAAGCAGUAAAUGUGGAGCCGUAGCGAAAGCGAGUCUGAAUAGGGCGUUUAGUAUUUGGUCGUAGACCCGAAACCAGGUGAUCUACCCUUGGUCAGGUUGAAGUUCAGGUAACACUGAAUGGAGGACCGAACCGACUUACGUUGAAAAGUGAGCGGAUGAACUGAGGGUAGCGGAGAAAUUCCAAUCGAACCUGGAGAUAGCUGGUUCUCUCCGAAAUAGCUUUAGGGCUAGCCUCAAGUGAUGAUUAUUGGAGGUAGAGCACUGUUUGGACGAGGGGCCCCUCUCGGGUUACCGAAUUCAGACAAACUCCGAAUGCCAAUUAAUUUAACUUGGGAGUCAGAACAUGGGUGAUAAGGUCCGUGUUCGAAAGGGAAACAGCCCAGACCACCAGCUAAGGUCCCAAAAUAUAUGUUAAGUGGAAAAGGAUGUGGCGUUGCCCAGACAACUAGGA